rnacentral:rRNA from 1 species
AUGCACGCUGGCGGCGUGCCUAAUACAUGCCCGUCGAGCGAACGGACGAGAAGCUUGCUUCUCUGAUGUUAGCGGCGGACGGGUGAGUAACGCGUGGAUAACCUACCUAUAAGACUGGGAUAACUUCGGGAAACCGGAGCUAAUACCGGAUGAUAUUUUGAACCGCAUGGUUCAAAAGUGAAAGACGGUCUUGCUGUCACUUAUAGAUGGAUCCGCGCUGCAUUAGCUAGUUGGUAAGGUAACGGCUUACCAAGGCAACGAUGCAUAGCCGACCUGAGAGGGUGAUCGGCCACACUGGAACUGAGACACGGUCCAGACUCCUACGGGAGGCAGCAGUAGGGAAUCUUCCGCAAUGGGCGAAAGCCUGACGGAGCAACGCCGCGUGAGUGAUGAAGGUCUUCGGAUCGUAAAACUCUGUUAUUAGGGAAGAACAUAUGUGUAAGUAACUGUGCACAUCUUGACGGUACCUAAUCAGAAAGCCACGGCUAACUACGUG